GCCUUCGUGGUGUAACGGUAGCACACUCGGCGCGUAUUCGAUAGGUCCAAGUUCGAGUCCCGGAGAGGGCA
rnacentral:tRNA from 1 species